GUGGGGAAUAUUGCACAAUGGGGGAAACCCUGAUGCAGCGACGCCGCGUGAGUGAAGAAGUAUUUCGGUACGUAAAGCUCUAUCAGCAAGGAAGAAAAUGACGGUACUUGACUAAGAAGCCCCGGCUAACUACGUGCCAGCAGCCGCGGUAAUACGUAGGGGACAAGCGUUAUCCGGAUUUACUGGGUGUAAAGGGAGCGUAGACGGUAUGGUAAGUCAGAUGUGAAAGCCCGGGGCUCAACCCCGGGACUGCAUUUGAAACUAUCAGACUAGAGUGCAGGAGAGGUAAGUGGAAUUCCUAGUGUAGCGGUGAAAUGCGUAGAUAUUAGGAGGAACACCAGUGGCGAAGGCGGCUUACUGGACUGUAACUGACGUUGAGGCUCGAAAGCGUGGGGAGCAAACAGGAUUAGAUACCCGAGUAGUCC
rnacentral:rRNA from 1 species